AUGCUAGCUCCUGCUUUUUCUUUCUUUCUUUCUUUCUUUCUUUCUUUCUUUCUUUCCUUUUCUUUUUACUUUCCACUCCUCUGCUCUGCUUCUAUUUUAAGGACUGAAAAUGAAGUAAGGAAUAAGACAGGACUAAUUAAAAGAAGAACCAAUGAGACCAGACAUAAGGAGGGAAACUUAAGAAAAAAGAAAGAAGAAACAAGUCUUUUCCAAACUCUAUCAACCAGUGGUCAAAGAUAUGCAGAGGUCACUCGAAAGAGUGUCUCCAAGAUUGUCUGAAGGAAAACAAAUGAGCAAGCCCAGAAAUUGGAGGCGAGGUGCUCUGCUGUGGCGGGGGAAAUGCCGAGAUGAUGACUUUUGGAAAAUUGCAUCGGGUUUAUCCAACACAGGACUGUUUUAAUCACUGCACCGGGGGACCUGCUUCAAGGACGGAUGGAUAAUGCAUGUUUCAGAGAGGCUGAUAGGGAGAUAGUGCGGAUCCUCAAACGUCUUGAACAGGCCAUUAAGUGAGCAAACGUCCUUGCACAUCUGCUUGGGGGUAUGGGACUCAGAAUUUCAAAGGAAACUUCAAGGUUCCCCUAUGGGCUCAAAGGAGCACUUGGGGAGGCAGACUCCAGCAAGACUCUGGAGAGAGAAAGGAGGCAUGUUCUUCUGCAAAGUCAAGCCCAGUCAGGGCGUAGCACCCCCUCACUGCCCACCCUUAUCCACUGGGAGUAACUGGAAGAUGGAUGACUGAUAUGCAGAUGAACAGAUACUCUGACACAUACAAUGACCUUGCUACAUUCUCAUCUCCAAACCUUCCAAAUCUUUCUUAUGGAACUGAGGUGCCAAGAGUUUAGGGAGACACAAGGGAUGGGGUGAAUUUAAUGGAAUGGGGAGAGGCUUUGGCAUUAAAUUAUCCAGGUUCAUAUCCCAGCUUUGUUCUGAAUUAUUUGUGCAACCUUGGGCACGUCACUUAAUCACUCCAGGUCUGGGUUUUGUCUUGCAAAGUAGGAAAAGGAGUUCCUAUCUGAUGACACUUGCG
rnacentral:lncRNA from 1 species